rnacentral:lncRNA from 1 species
CUUGAGUUGACAACUUGUGGAUAUAGUACAACUCAAAUUUAAAUUAACUUUGGUGAUAAGGUAAAUAUCUAAACUUUGGGGAUGAGUUCAGCUCAUAAUCAUCCUACCCUCUCUAUAAAUUAGAUUUUCUUCCCGUGCCUGUUUAUUGGGUUGUCUUAAUUAAUAAAUCUAAUAAAAAUUAGUUUCACCACUCUGACUAAUGAACUCAAAAUAUUUACCUCAUCGUCUUGAUUCACCCUUCUAGCUGCUNNNNNNNNNNNNNNNNNNNNNNNNNNNNNNNNNNNNNNNNNNNNAUAACUUUUAGCAGUUGCAGCAUUAUGUGAGAAGCACAACUACCAUUGUCGUAAACAACUAUUGCAUCCUAGUUUCUUGAUACUUUCAAAAUUCGAGGACGAAUUUUUUUUAAGGGGGGAAGACUGAAACAACCCGAAUUUUUAUUUUCAAAUAUUUUCCAAUUAAAUUUAAUGAACUGACAACCUGUAAAUUUAUUUUAAUAUUUUAAUGCAAACACUGUGAGAAACCGAACUGAAAACCGAUUGAAAAAUCCGAAACCCAAGCGAAAACCCUGCAACCCGAGCAGGAAUCGAGCCAAAUCAUUGAAUUAGACCAAACCGGUUCGAAUCGAACCGAAAUGGUCUAGAAGCGUUGGCCUUUUUUUUUCUUUCUUUUCUUUCUUUUUCUUUUCCUUCCUUUCCUUCUUCUCCAGGCGCGCGAUCCCUCCCUCCUCCCUCUCCUUCUGUCUCCGGCCACCAGACUGACGAUGGUGGGUGGCGAUCGAUCCCUCUCUUGCCACCGGUCACGUUGCCAUCAUCAGUCAUGCCGAUCAGGCCCUCAGCAGCGACGACGCGAGCUCUUCCCCGGCGACACGACUGCCUCCUCUGUACCAAUGCGAUUCUCCGGUGAGGCUCGACGAUAUCGGUGAUCUUCUAUGGCUUAGCUCGAUAGGUAAUGAAUCUUCAACAGUUUUAUUAAUGAUUUGAUCAUCGGAUGGAGAUUUGAGAAGAAAUUUAGAUCUAGUUUUCAAUUUGCAUUGAUUUAGGAUUUUUGACAAUUGGGUGUUGAAUGGUGAAAUUGAUUUGAGAUUUGGGUUCCUUAUGCAAAAUCGAGUCAGAUGGCGUGAACGACACUUGGUUCUGGGCAUCUGCGACUUUCCGGCC